UUGAUCCAAAUUUGUCAAAGAUAACACCAUAAAUGUGUUAAGUAUAAAUCCAGCUAUACUUGUUGGAAAAAUUAACAUCCAAUGCCUUUUUACUGAGCAGAUAAAGAAUGCAAAUUGGAAGUAAGGUCAGAG